UGAAAGUAUUUUAUUUUAGAGAUUCUUUAAUAAUAAAAUAAAAAUAUACUUGUUGUUCAUAUAUAAAUUCAAUACGUAAAUAGCUUUCUUUUAAUCUCUUAAUCUCACAAUUUUCCAAUUACAGAUAAUAAAAGCUUUGUCAAUAUUAAAAAUUAAUAUAUAUUGCAAUCUCCUUAGUUGAAGAUAAAGUUCUGGAAAUUAAAACAAUUAUAUCUCAUCAGUUUAAAAAUACAAAUCUUGACUUUGAGUCAAGAUUAAAAGACAGUCACACCCAAUCAAAUGUUUUACUAAUAUUUGAAUUAUGUCCAUUACAUCAGACAGAACAUGAUAUGUAAUUAUCUUUGUUGACAAGUUUAUACACUUUUAUAUAUUCUUAUAAGAAGAAGAAGUUAUUGAAUUGCUAAAAUCUUAGAAUGAGUCACUUCAAUAAAGGAAUUAGUGACAUCAAGCUGUAAAGAGGUUAUUUUAUUCCUUAUGACAAAUCAUUUAAUUCUAACCUAUUUGAUAUACUGCGAAAUAAAGAGAAAUUUACACUUUAGAAUAAUAUUAAAAAUUUAUCAUUUAUUGAAACUCAUCGAAGUUUUCAAAGAUUUUACUCAAUUAAAUGAUUUUAAAAAAGCUUAACAAUUGUAAAAUGAAUCACAUAUUCAACAUUACAUAUGAUCAACAAAUAUAAUAAUAAUCGUUUAAAGGUUAAUGUAUGCCGAAAUCAUUAUUAUGAUCAAGUUGUGUCAAGCAUUUUUUAGCAUAUUUUCUAAAUAAUAAUUUCUUUUUAGUAAAAUAUUUUAAAAAAUUUCUAUUUUAUUAUAAAACUAAAAAAUAUUUUUAUUCAAAUAAAUUGACAUCUUAUGUUACUAUUUUUCUCGCAUCUGAAUGAUCGAUUAUACUUCUUUUCGAUAGUGAACUGUUAACCUCAAAUUGUCGUAGCGUCAAAAAUUUGUCAAAGAUUUUAUAUUUUUUAUAUCCUGUAUUUUAAAUUUUGCUUUGAAUUCAUUUAAUCCAGUUUUAUAAGAAAUUUUUUUCCAUUUGAUCAUUCUUAAAUGUGAAUCAUGACAAUCAACAAAUCGAUCAAACCUAUACUUAAAGAAAUCAUAAAGUUAUAUUGAGAAGAAUCCACGCAUUUACGAAACGAGAGGAAACGAGAAGAAACGAGAACAUUUAACACUCAUCUUUAUUGCCAGAAUUAACAUGAGAGUGUAACACACAAUGCCGUAUCGCGUUCCGCCCGCGGCUAACAGGAAAGAAAGCGGAUCUCCGCAUUUUUAUGAAAAUGUAUGCACGUAGCGGCGGAUUUGCGGUAUAUAGAAACCACCAUCGAAGAUGUACGUUUUUUUUAUUUCGUUCGUUGAUAUGUUUCUUUUAUCGAAACAACAAGCGAGCUUUUCGUUAAAAUUCAAAUAAACAACUUUUUUUUCAUAUAAAAAAAUAUGAAAAUAUUAAAUUCAAAUGUUAUUUUAUAACUAUUCUUACAAUAUUA